rnacentral:rRNA from 1 species
UACGUAGGGGGCAAGCGUUGUCCGGAUUUAUUGGGCGUAAAGCGCGUGUAGGCGGCCACACAGGUCCGCUGUGAAAACUCGAGGCUCAACCUCGAGCUGUCGGUGGAAACCGUGUGGCUAGAGUCCGGAAGAGGAGACUGGAAUUCCCGGUGUAGCGGUGGAAUGCGUAGAUAUCAGGAGGAACACCGGUGGCGAAGGCGGAUUUCUGGACCAGUUCUGACACUGAUGAGCGAAAGCCAGGGGAGCAAACAGG